AAGUCAGAUGUGAAAAGCCCGGGGCUCAACCUCGGAAUUGCAUUUGAAACUGGCAAACUAGAGUACUGUAGAGGGGGUAGAAUUUCAGGUGUAGCGGUGAAAAUGCGUAGAGAUCUGAAGGAAUACCGGUGGCGAAGGCGGCCCCCUGGACAGAUACUGACACUCAGAUGCGAAAGCGUGGGGAGCAAACAGGAUUAGAUACCCUGGUAG
rnacentral:rRNA from 1 species